GCAGUGGUGAUUCAGCGGCAAAAUUCUCGCCUCCCACACAGGAGACCUGGGUUUGAUUUCCAGCCAGUGCA
rnacentral:tRNA from 1 species